UACAGAGGUCCCAAGCGUUGUUCGGAUUCAUUGGGCGUAAAGGGUGCGUAGGCGGCGCGGUAAGUCGGGUGUGAAAUCUCGGGGCUUAACUCCGAAACUGCAUUCGAUACUGCCGUGCUUGAGGACUGGAGAGGAGACUGGAAUUUACGGUGUAGCGGUGAAAUGCGUAGAUAUCGUAAGGAAGACCAGUGGCGAAGGCGGGUCUCUGGACAGUUCCUACGCUGAGGCACGAAGGCCAGGGGAGCAAACGGG
rnacentral:rRNA from 1 species